AGGCUCGGUAGCGUGAGCGCCGCCUGGGCUUCAUAUAGGGCGGGCUCCUGGCCACGUCAGCCAGCAGCCAGCCACCUGACCGGAGCCGCCCUGCGGCUGGGGCAGCUGCAAGGUGCUAGCAGGUAUGCAGAGGAUGAUUCUCUCUGAACAGGGCCGCCCCAAGCAACAAAAA